GGAAUAUUGCGCAAUGGACGAAAGUCUGACGCAGCGACGCCUCGUGAGGGACAAAGGUCUUCGGAUUGUAAACCUCUUUCAGCAGGGACGAAGCGAAAGUGACGGUACCUGCAGAAGAAGCACCGGCUAACUAUGUGCCAGCAGCCGCGGUAAUACAUAGGGUGCAAGCGUUGUCCGGAUUUAUUGGGCGUAAAGAGUUCGUAGGCGGUUUUUCGCGUCGGAUGUGAAAACUCAGGGCUCAACCCUGAGCCUGCAUUCGAUACGGGAAGACUCGAGGACGGCAGGGGAGACUGGAACUUCUGGUGUAGCGGUGGAAUGCGCAGAUAUCAGAAAGAACACCAAUGGCGAAGGCAGGUCUCUGGGCCGAUCCUGACGCUGAGGAACGAAAGCGUGGGGAGCAAACAGGAUUAGAUACCCUGGUAGUCCACGCCGUAAACUAUGGACGCUAGGUGUGGGGGACAUUCCACGUUCUCUGCGCCGCAGCUAACGCAUUAAGCGUCCCGCCUGGGGAGUACGACCGCAAGGUUAAAACUCAAAGGAAUUGACGG
rnacentral:rRNA from 1 species